UACGUAGGGGGCAAGCGUUGUCCGGAUUUAUUGGGCGUAAAGAGCGUGUAGGCGGCCAUUCAGGUCAGCUGUGAAAACUCGAGGCUCAACCUCGAGACGUCGGUUGAAACCGUUUGGCUAGAGUCCGGAAGAGGAGAGUGGAAUUCCCGGUGUAGCGGUGAAAUGCGCAGAUAUCGGGAAGAACACCCGUGGCGAAGGCGGCUCUCUGGGACGGUACUGACGCUGAGGCGCGAAAGCGUGGGGAGCAAACGGG
rnacentral:rRNA from 1 species